UAGGGAAUAUUGCUCAAUGGGCGAAAGCCUGAAGCAGCAACGCCGCGUGUGCGAUGAAGGCCUUCGGGUCGUAAAGCACUUUUCUGAGAGAUGAGAAAGGACAGUAUCUCAGGAAUAAGUCUCGGCUAACUACGUGCCAGCAGCCGCGGUAAAACGUAGGAGGCGAGCGUUAUCCGGAUUCACUGGGUGUAAAGCGCGUGCAGGCGGUUCGGUAAGUUGGGCGUGAAAUCUCCUGGCUCAACUAGGAGAGGUCGUUCAAUACUACCGGACUUGAGAGUGGUAGAGGAAGAUGGAAUUCCCGGUGUAGUGGUGAAAUGCGUAGAUAUCGGGAGGAACACCAGUGGCGAAGGCGAUCUUCUGGACCAUUUCUGACGCUCAGACGCGACAGCUAGGGUAGCAAACGGG
rnacentral:rRNA from 1 species